rnacentral:lncRNA from 1 species
CAUCUAUUUGGGAAGUCCUCUUAUAAGUCAAAUGGCAUUAAAUUGCAAAUGUCUCCCUUUCAUCACCAACCCUUAGACCCAGGUCUUAUCUUCAAGUAAGGCUGAAUGAAAUGCAUUUCUACAGGGACAGAAAAAUUCCCUGCUCAGUGGAGCUGAGAAGACUGAUGGUGUAGUGCUUCUACAAGCAGUCACCAAAGGGACACAACCUCCUUGAAGUACUGGUAUGCCUGGAACAAAGCUCAAAUUAUCAGACUGGAACAAGAUAACAAGAGUGGAAAGCAAAUUACCAAGGACAAGGUCUGUGUUUCUAGCUUCUUGUGUUCAUACAGUCUUUAGUUCAGAAGUGCUGCUAUGUAGGCAAAGGGUUGAACUUCUUUCCAGUCAGAAAUGU